UGAGGGGGGCUGCUCCUAGUACGAGAGGACCGGAGUGGACGCAUCACUGGUGUUCGGGUUGUCAUGCCAAUGGCACUGCCCGGUAGCUAAAUGCGGAAGAGAUAAGUGCUGAAAGCAUCUAAGCACGAAACUUGCCCCGAGAUGAGUUCUCCCUGACUCCUUGAGAGUCCUGAAGGAACGUUGAAGACGACGACGUUGAUAGGCCGGAUGUGUAAGCGCAGCGAUGCGUUGAGCUAACCGGUACUAAUGAACCGUGAGGCUUAACCUUACAACGCCGAAGGUGUUU
rnacentral:rRNA from 1 species